AAUCUUCGGCAAUGGACGAAAGUCUGACCGAGCAACGCCGCGUGAGUGAGGAAGGUCUUCGGAUCGUAAAGCUCUGUUGCCAGGGAAGAAGGCCUUGGGGAGGGAAUGCCCUGAGGAUGACGGUACCUGAGAAGAAAGCCCCGGCUAACUACGUGCCAGCAGCCGCGGUAAUACGUAGGGGGCAAGCGUUGUCCGGAAUUAUUGGGCGUAAAGCGCGCGCAGGCGGUUCUUUAAGUCUUGUGUUUAAUCCCGGGGCUCAACCCCGGAACGCACAGGGAAACUGGAGGACUGGAGUGCAGGAGAGGAAAGUGGAAUUCCACGUGUAGCGGUGAAAUGCGUAGAUAUGUGGAGGAACACCAGUGGCGAAGGCGACUUUCUGGCCUGUAACUGACGCUGAGGCGCGAAAGCGUGGGGAGCAAA
rnacentral:rRNA from 1 species